GACGAACGCUGGCGGCGUGCCUAAUACAUGCAAGUAGAACGCUGAAGGAGGAGCUUACUUCUCUGGAUGAGUUGCGAACGGGUGAGUAACGCGUAGGUAACCUGCCUGGUAGCGGGGGAUAACUAUUGGAAACGAUAGCUAAUACCGCAUAAGAGUAGAUGUUGCAUGACAUUUACUUAAAAGGUGCAAUUGCACCACUACCAGAUAGACCUGCGUUGUAUUAGCUAGUUGGUGGGGUAACGGCUUACCAAGGCGACGAUACAUAGCCGACCUGAGAGGGUGAUCGGCCACACUGGGACUGAGACACGGCCCAGACUCCUACGGGAGGCAGCAGUAGGGAAUCUUCGGCAAUGGACGGAAGUCUGACCGAGCAACGCCGCGUGAGUGAAGAAGGUUUUUCGGAUCGUAAAGCUCUGUUGUAAGAGAAGAACGAGUGUGAGAGUGGAAAGUUCACACUGUGGCGGUAUCUUACCAGAAAGGGACGGCUAACUACGUGCCAGCAGCCGCAGUAA
rnacentral:rRNA from 1 species